rnacentral:rRNA from 1 species
GAUGAACGCUGGCGGCGUGCCUAAUACAUGCAAGUCGAGCGAACAGAUAAGGAGCUUGCUCCUUUGACGUUAGCGGCGGACGGGUGAGUAACACGUGGGUAACCUACCUAUAAGACUGGAAUAACUUCGGGAAACCGAAGCUAAUGCCGGAUAACAUGUAGAACCGCAUGGUUCUACAGUGAAAGAUGGCCUUGUUAUCACUUAUAGAUGGACCCGCGCCGUAUUAGCUAGUUGGUAAGGUAACGGCUUACCAAGGCAACGAUACGUAGCCGACCUGAGAGGGUGAUCGGCCACACUGGAACUGAGACACGGUCCAGACUCCUACGGGAGGCAGCAGUAGGGAAUCUUCCGCAAUGGGCGAAAGCCUGACGGAGCAACGCCGCGUGAGUGAUGAAGGUCUUCGGAUCGUAAAGCUCUGUUAUUAGGGAAGAACAAGUGCGUAAGUAACUGUGCGCACCUUGACGGUACCUAAUCAGAAAGCCACGGCUAACUACGUG